rnacentral:lncRNA from 1 species
CACAACUCCAUUUGCAUGAUAAUGCAUCUGUCCAAACCCAAAGAUGACAUGUUCAUGUGGAAAAUAUGAACAAAUGAUCCAAACCUAGAUAAUGGCAACAAUAGUACAUUUUAACUGCAAGUACCAUGUAAACUAAUCUGCUUGAGCUUAAACUUGGCGGACAUUUAGUCCUUCCAUACCCAUAACCACUAGACAAGGUCUUCGCCCAAAUGCCCUUCAGUAAAACCCCUUUUUCUAAGCCCCAAGUUUGCUGCUGGAAACUUACUUUCAUCUCCAGUGCUUUCCUACAUGUGUGCCUCACACGUUAGGAAACAUUUCCCGACCAAAAGGUGGUCCUCGACAUGCCUUGGCAUGGUGACAACGCUGUUGGCAAGGAGCAACAUGCUCUAUCAAUUGUCCUUGGAUAGUAGCUCUCAUCCAAAUCCGUUUGAGAACGCACACAC